AGCCCACCAAGCCAAUGACGCCUAGCUGGUCUUAGAGGAUGAUCAGCCACACUGGAACUGAGACACGGUCCAGACUCCUACGGGAGGCAGCAGUGGGGAAUAUUGCACAAUGGAGGAAACUCUGAUGCAGCAACGCCGCGUGGAGGAUGACGCAUUUCGGUGUGUAAACUCCUUUUAUAUGGGAAGAUAAUGACGGUACCAUAUGAAUAGGCACCGGCUAACUCCGUGCCAGCAGCCGCGGUAAUACGGAGGGUGCAAGCGUUACUCGGAAUCACUGGGCGUAAAGCGCGCGCAGGCGGCCUUUUAAGUUGGAUGUGAAAGCCUACGGCUCAACCGUAGAACUGCAUCCAAAACUAUUGGGCUAGAGUGUGGGAGAGGAAGAUGGAAUUAGUUGUGUAGGGGUAAAAUCCGUAGAGAUAACUAGGAAUACCAAAAGCGAAGGCAAUCUUCUGGAACAUUACUGACGCUGAGGCGCGAAAGCGUGGGGAGCAAACAGGAUUAGAUACCCUGGUAGUCCACGCCCUAAACGAUGAAUGUUAGUCGUCGGGUAGCUAGUCUAUUCGGUGAUGCAGCUAACGCAUUAAACAUUCCGCCUGGGGAGUACGGUCGCAAGAUUAAAACUCAAAGGAAUAGACGGGGACCCGCACAAGUGGUGGAGCAUGUGGUUUAAUUCGAAGAUACGCGAAGAACCUUACCUAGCCUUGACAUAUAUUAGAACACCCUAGAGAUAGAGUGGUGCCUUCGGGAGCUUUUAUACAGGUGCUGCACGGCUGUCGUCAGCUCGUGUCGUGAGAUGUUGGGUUAAGUCCCGCAACGAGCGCAACCCUCGUCACUAGUUACUAACGGUUCGGCCGAGGACUCUAGUGAGACUGCCUUCGUAAGGAGGAGGAAGGUGAGGACGACGUCAAGUCAUCAUGGCCCUUACGGCUAGGGCAACACACGUGCUACAAUGGCCAGGACAAUGAGACGCGAUACCGCGAGGUGGAGCAAAUCUAUAAACCUGGUCUCAGUUCGGAUUGUAGUCUGCAACUCGACUACAUGAAGCUGGAAUCACUAGUAAUCGUAGAUCAGCUAUGCUACGGUGAAUACGUUCCCGGGUCUUGUACUCACCGCCCGUCACACCAUGGGAGUUGAUUUCACCCGAAGCGGGGAAGCUAAACUGGCUACCCUCCACGGUGGAAUCAGCGACUGGGGUGAAGUCGUAACAAGGUA
rnacentral:rRNA from 1 species